UGGACGCAAGUCUGAUGGAGCAACGCCGCGUGAGAGAAGAAGGGUUUCGGCUCGUAAAGCUCUGUUGGUAGUGAAGAAAGAUAGAGGUAGUAACUGGCCUUUAUUUGACGGUAAUUACUUAGAAAGUCACGGCUAACUACGUGCCAGCAGCCGCGGUAAUACGUAGGUGGCAAGCGUUGUCCGGAUUUAUUGGGCGUAAAGCGAGUGCAGGCGGUUCAAUAAGUCUGAUGUGAAAGCCUUCGGCUCAACCGGAGAAUUGCAUCAGAAACUGUUGAACUUGAGUGCAGAAGAGGAGAGUGGAACUCCAUGUGUAGCGGUGGAAUGCGUAGAUAUAUGGAAGAACACCAGUGGCGAAGGCGGCUCUCUGGUCUGCAACUGACGCUGAGGCUCGAAAGCAUGGGUAGCGAACAGGAUUAGAUACCCUGGUAGUCCAUGCCGUAAACGAUGAGUGCUAAGUGUUGGGAGGUUUCCGCCUCUCAGUGCUGCAGCUAACGCAUUAAGCACUCCGCCUGGGGAGUACGACCGCAAGGUUGAAACUCAAAGGAAUUGACGGGGGCCCGCACAAGCGGUGGAGCAUGUGGUUUAAUUCGAAGCAACGCGAAGAACCUUACCAGGUCUUGACAUCCAGUGCGAACCUAAGAGAUUAGGUGUUCCCUUCGGGGACGCUGAGACAGGUGGGCAUG
rnacentral:rRNA from 1 species